CGCCAGACUCCUACGGGAGGCAGCAGUGGGGAAUAUUGCACAAUGGGGGAAACCCUGAUGCAGCGACGCCGCGUGAGUGAAGAAGUAUUUCGGUAUGUAAAGCUCUAUCAGCAGGGAAGAAAAUGACGGUACCUGACUAAGAAGCCCCGGCUAACUACGUGCCAGCAGCCGCGGUAAUACGUAGGGGGCAAGCGUUAUUCGGAUUUACUGGGUGUAAAGGGAGCGUAGACGGCAUGGCAAGUCAGAUGUGAAAGCCCGGGGCUCAACCCCGGGACUGCAUUUGAAACUGUCAGGCUGGAGUGCAGGAGAGGUAAGUGGAAUUCCUAGUGUAGCGGUGAAAUGCGUAGAUAUUAGGAGGAACACCAGUGGCGAAGGCGGCUUACUGGACUGUAACUGACGUUGAGGCUCGAAAGCGUGGGGAGCAAACAGGAUUAGAUACCCCGGUAG
rnacentral:rRNA from 1 species